rnacentral:rRNA from 1 species
GAACCAGCCAAGUAGCGUGAAGGAUGAAGGUCCUACGGAUUGUAAACUUCUUUUAUAAGGGAAUAAAACCUCCCACGUGUGGGAGCUUGUAUGUACCUUAUGAAUAAGCAUCGGCUAACUCCGUGCCAGCGAGCCGCGGUAAUAA